AUUUCGGUGUCCCAUGCCUCGCCGCGCUUUGUGCGCUUUCGCCAAAUUAAGCCAUCAUUAAAAUAACAACCCCGUUCACCCGCUCGUUUGGCGCGCGGCGAGACCGCACUCGCCCAUUCACAACCGCCACCUCUCAUGUUGUAUCGUCGCAAAUCGAUGUAGACGCGAUUGACAAUAGUCUUACACCGCGAAGCCGUUCUUUUGAUUAUGCUCUGUAUUCAUCGGAGUAAAUAAUGUAGUCAUAUUCCGUGCUACUCCUUUUCAAUAAGCAUCUUUCAUAAGAAGCAUCAAAGCUCGCACUAAAACAAAGAUUCGCAGCCGUAUCAGCGCCGCCUCGCCACGCAUGCAUGGUGCAUCUUUAUUAUGUUUCUUGUUCUCCCGGACAACAAACAUCGUAUCCACGUGUGCUUUCUGUUUUAGCAUAAUAGCACUGGGAAAACGUUCUCGCUCAAAAUCGCGAAGACGCGAUCAUACUUACGAGGAUGAUUAUUAUGUGUCUUCCAAAGAGAAUCGAGGAUAUAGAUCUCCGAGGUCAGAGCGUUCACGUGGGAGCUCCCGCAGACGUUUUCGAGAACCUUCCAUUGAACAUUCACGCUCAUUGGAUCGUCAGCGGACUUAUAACCUUGAAGAUGGACACCGAGGCGAUCAGAGAUUCACCAACUGAAGUUGUGGAGAAUUCCGGCAUUGACCAGGGUAAUUUAUAUGUUAUAUAUCAGGACUACGAGCCAUUACCACGAGUUUGACCUUGUCCAACGAUCAUUUCAUGAUCGCAAAGCUGUCCAAAGCACGCCAAAGAUAAAUGACAUACUUCAGUCUCGGACUACGAACUAUUACUACGAGUUUGGUCCUGUCCACCGAUCAUUCAAUGAUCGCGAGACUGCCCACGGAGACACGCUCAAGGGUUUGGCGCACUUCAGCUUCGAAUUAAGAACCAUUAUGUAUGAUCCUGUUCACCGAUCCUUCAGUAAUCGCGAGACUAUCCACGGAGUCACGCUCAAAAGAUUGCAUGAUGUUUUCUUUUAAAAGUACUCCAUGAAAACGAACCAGAGAGGCCAUAUAUUUCGUCGGAGCCAGUCGGAUUCAGAACACUUGCUGUGUUCAAAAUGGAUUUGAUGGACUCCAAUCGAUGGUGCUGCCAUGGGCUCAACUGUCCAUGAUUUAAUUACAAAAACUUGGUCUUCUAUAUUUAAUAGCGGUUUGCCAAAAGAAACGAAUCUUAUUCUACGCAAAAGUAUCCAGUUCCGCAGAAUUUAUCGUUAGUUAACCCCUACACUCAACACAGAGGUAAAGUUUAUGUCAGUUGACUUCAGUUCAGAGAGAUGAAUACCAAUUCAUCACUCAAGGUAUAAUCGAAGCAGUUAUAACUGCCCAAGCAUAUCUGGUAUCGGACUUUUGAAACCGGAGGAACAAUGGGAUAGCAAGCGCAUUUUUGAGUUAGCAAGUGAUACAGGUCCAAAAUUGCUAAUUAUCUUGAAUGCAAUAGGAUACAAAAUUCUUUUCUCCUCCUCCUCGAUCAUAUUUACAGGAACCACUGUCGAGCAAGUCGGAACGCCCUCUCUGUGAAGCAGACUGCCUUCUUAAGAAGGAUGCCAUCCAAUGUUGAUUUUGUUCAGAUCAAUAUUUUUUGUCAUACUUUUUGAUAGACAAGGCAUCCGGUGAGAAGAGGUUUAUCUUGAAUCUCAAACCUCUUAAUGAAUCUAUUUUUGUACCUCAUUUCAAGAUGGAGGAUCUAAUGAUGGUUACCCGAUUGAUGUCUUCAGAUUUCAUAGCAUCGAUCGAUUUGAAAGAUUCCUAUUUGUUGCUGCCAAUUCACGUCUCACACCAUAAGUACCUACGUUUUUCAUUUCAGGAAGAUAUCUUCGAAAGGAUUUUGGUCUAUCAGUUACCUAAAUGACUUCUUACUGUUCGGAGACACCGCCGCAAACAUAAAAAAAUCUCCAAUAAGUAAUUUUGCAGAAUUCGUGAUCUUGUAAGUCUAAUAGAAACACUAAAUUCUAUUUGCCGAACAGUUACUUAUGGAUCAAUACAUUACAUUACAUUACAUACAUUCAUUAGAUACAUUCGAGAUUUUGAGAGACAGAAGUUCCUCGCUUGUAUAGAAUCCAAUAAUGAUUAUGACGCUCGUAUAAUACUAUCUACGUCACUUCAGGAUUUUAAGUGGCGGCUGAACAAGUUAUGCUCACCAUCGAUUGCAAGACCGUUACUAAAACGAAAGUUUUCUCAUGUAAUCUUUUCUGAUGCUUCACCUUCAGGUUAGGGUGCAUCUAUAGGUAAGAAGCAAACGCACGACUGAUGGUCAGACCAGGAUACAGACAAACAUAUAUAUUUUUUAAAGUUAAAAGCUGUAGAAAAUAAGCUCUCAAAUCUUUCAAAUCAACACAAUCUAUACUCCCAAACAUAGUACUCCGUAUAAAUGAUAUGACAGCAAUUGCUUAUAUCAACAAGGAUGGUUCUUCUCGAUUUCCGAAAUUUUCAGCUCUUGCAAAGUCGAUUUGGCAAUGGUGUGAAUUUCGGGAUUUAUACCUUUUUGCAUUUUACAUUCGGUCUAUUGAUAAUGUCGUGACGGACAGAAAAUCUAGAAUAGUUUCGAUUAAAACCAAAAUUACUUCUCUUGUUUUGCAAAAAUUUUUAAAGCGUUUUUGAACCAUUCGAUACAGACCUCUUUGCGUUUCAUAUCAACGCAAAAUGCAAGAUCUUCGUUUCUUGGUUUCCGGAUUCAUUCGCGACCACCGUCAAUCACAAUAGAUUGGAAUGAAGUUUAUUUUUAUGCCUUUCCAUCUUUCGUAUUAAUUACUAGAGUAUUAAGGAAAAUAGUUAAUGAUAGAGCAAUAGGAGUUUUAGUUCCCAGAUGGCCAGCUCAACUGUUUCCAUUCUUCCAUAGAGUGUACACUUCAGACAUAAUUGAACCAAAUCCUAAUCUUUUAAUCUCUCCCUUCAGAAGUCAACAUCUAACGUGACGCAACAUUUCCCUGAUUGCAGGGAGAUUAUCAGGCAAGCAUUUCGCCAGAAGGAAUUUCCAGAGGAAUUGAUAGAGAUAACCUUGGUACCUCUUGUUAAUUCAACUCUAGAUUAAUAUAAUAAACCUAUCAAGCUCUGGUGGUUUUUCUGCAACGAACGCAAUAUCGACUGGUUUCAGCCUAGUAUAUCCCCAGUGAAAAGGGAUUGUGCAAGAUGACAACAAGAUGCCGGCAAGAUAAGAAGGAGAUGACGAUGACAAAAAAGCGCAAAAUAUCCCAAUGUUGCUGUUGAUCGUCACGAUGUUUCCUCUCUCUAAUUAGUCGGCCGCCAUGUGACAUUCGUCAUGUUAGUCCCACGUUAUUCAAAUGUGGUAUUCAUAUUAAGUUGAAAGAGUCGCUAUGUAAAUUGUCUAUUAUAGAAUAAAGAUCCAGUUAAAUUAA